rnacentral:rRNA from 1 species
GACGAACGCUGGCGGCGUGCUUAACACAUGCAAGUCGAACGGAAAGGCCCUGCUUUUGUGGGGUGCUCGAGUGGCGAACGGGUGAGUAACACGUGAGUAACCUGCCCUUGACUUUGGGAUAACUUCAGGAAACUGGGGCUAAUACCGGAUAGGAGCUCCUGCUGCAUGGUGGGGGUUGGAAAGUUUCGGCGGUUGGGGAUGGACUCGCGGCUUAUCAGCUUGUUGGUGGGGUAGUGGCUUACCAAGGUUUUGACGGGUAGCCGGCCUGAGAGGGUGACCGGCCACAUUGGGACUGAGAUACGGCCCAGACUCCUACGGGGGGCAGCAGUGGGGAAUAUUGCACAAUGGGCGGAAGCCUGAUGCAGCAACGCCGCGUGCGGGAUGACGGCCUUCGGGUUGUAAACCGCUUUCGCCUGUGACGAAGCGUGAGUGACGGUAAUGGGUAAAGAAGCACCGGCUAACUACGUG